rnacentral:rRNA from 1 species
AGUAACACGUAGGUGACCUGCCUCGAAGACGGGGAUAACUGCUGGAAACGGUAGCUAAUACCCGAUGGUCUCGAUAAUUCGGUUUGUCGAGUAAAGGCUCCGGCGCUUUGAGAGGGACCUGCGGCCCAUCAGCUAGUCGGUAGGGUAACGGCCUACCAAGGCGAAGACGGGUAGGGGGCGUGAGAGCGUGACCCCCCACACUGGCACUGGGACACGGGCCAGACUCCUACGGGAGGCAGCAGUGAGGAAUAUUGCGCAAUGAGCGAAAGCUAGACGCAGCAACGCCGCGUGGGUGAUGAAGGCCUUCGGGUCGUAAAACCCUUUUCUGGGGGAAGAGUAAGGACGGUACCCCAGGAAUAAGCCUCGGCUAACUAUGUGCCAGCAGCCGCGGUAAUACAUAGGAGGCAAGCGUUAUCCGGAUUUACUGGGCGUAAAGAGCGUUGAGGCGGCUUCGUAAGUUGGACGUGAAAGCUCCCGGCUUAACUGGGAGAGGCCGUUCAAUACUGCGGGGCUUGAGGACAGCAGAGGGGGGUGGAAUUUCCGGUGUAGUGGUGAAAUGCGUAGAUAUCGGAAGGAACACCAGUGGCGAAGGCGGCCCCCUGGGCUGCUCCUGACGCUGAAGGCGAAAGCUAGGGUAGCGAACGGGAUUAGAAACCCCGGUAGUCCUAGCCGUAAACGAUGGAUACUAGGUGUAGGAGGUUAAAACUCCUUCUGUGCCGGAGCUAACGCGUUAAGUAUCCCGCCUGGGGAGUACGGUCGCAAGGCUAAAACUCAAAGGAAUUGACGGGGGCCCGCACAAGCAGCGGAGCGUGUGGUUUAAUUCGAUGCAACGCGAAGAACCUUACCAGGGCUUGACAUGUAGGUAGUAGUGAAGCGAAAGCGGAACGAUCCUUCGGGAAGCCUACACAGGUGCUGCAUGGCUGUCGUCAGCUCGUGCCGUGAGGUGUUAGGUUAAGUCUUGUACCGAGCGCAACCCCUGCCGUUAGUUACAAGUGUCUAUCGGGACUGCCCGGCAAAACUGGGAGGAAGGUGGGGAUGAGGUCAAGUCAGCAUGGCCUUUAUGUCCU